UCUUCCCUCUGGCGGCGUGCUUAACACAUGCAAGUCGAACGGAAAGGCCCAAGCUUGCUUGGGUACUCGAGUGGCGAACGGGUGAGUAACACGUGGGUGAUCUGCCCUGCACUUCGGGAUAAGCCUGGGAAACUGGGUCUAAUACCGGAUAGGACGAUGGUUUGGAUGCCAUUGUGGAAAGUUUUUUCGGUGUGGGAUGAGCUCGCGGCCUAUCAGCUUGUUGGUGGGGUAAUGGCCUACCAAGGCGUCGACGGGUAGCCGGCCUGAGAGGGUGUACGGCCACAUUGGGACUGAGAUACGGCCCAGACUCCUACGGGAGGCAGCAGUGGGGAAUAUUGCACAAUGGGCGCAAGCCUGAUGCAGCGACGCCGCGUGGGGGAUGACGGCCUUCGGGUUGUAAACUCCUGUCGCUAGGGACGAAGCGUUUUUGUGACGGUACCUGGAGAAGAAGCACCGGCUAACUACGUG
rnacentral:rRNA from 1 species